GUAUGCACCUGCCACCCAACUUUGGAGAGGCAGGCUCCAUGUGACGGGCGGGAGUAAGGAGAACAGGCAUACACCUGCACUUGAGCAUUGCUGUAAAGAAUGGAAAAGCUUUAGAAAAGGAAUGGCGAUCUGAAAUUCCCAUUCCCCGUGGUGGACCUCACAGGAGCUAUGUAAAGGGCAUGGAUUUCCUCAACUGGUAUGCAGUCAAGGCAUGGAUUUGACGGUCAGGUUAAUGCUUGUUGGACUCAUAAAUUAUCACGAAGUGAAAUAGAGUCGAUCCGAGUGGCUGGAUUUCCCAUAUCGGUAAUUCAUGGCAGUUAUAAUGGGCUUGAUUUGCUACUGAGAGAAAGGCCAAGGAUUUCUUUAUGAUGCAGAAUGAGGAGGUUCAGACUGGGAUCUUUUGUUGAAAGACAAUUUCCUCCUUAUUUUGAGUUUAUGCUACUGAGAGAACUUAUGUAUUCCAUUCAAGACUGUGUUUCAACAAAACAGUUGUGUUAACUGCGAUGCACACGAGAGGGAGCGGCCGGAUGAUCGGACGACCGAAUACACAAUAGGGAGCCUUUCCUUUUACAUUUAUGCAUUUAAUUUAAUUUAAUUUAGCAUUAUGCAUAUAGAAAUAGAUUUAUUUUUACGUCCGUCCCGGGACAUGCAUGCAUGCAUUAAUUUUGUUUCUAUAUUUUAUACUAACUUAAUUUAUUUUUACGUCCUUCGAUCCCGAAUACAAAUCCAAGAUGCAUACGAGAGGGAGCGGCCGGAUGUUCGGACGACCGAAUACACAAUAGGGAGCCUUUCCUUUUACAUUUAUGCAUUUAAUUUAAUUUAGCAUUAUGCAUAUAGAAAUAGAUUUAUUUUUACGUCCGUCCCGGGACAUGCAUGCAUGCAUUAAUUUUGUUUCUAUAUUUUAUACUAACUUAUUUUCAAGUGUUUUUAAUUUGUAGGUAAAGCUUAUGUGGAGACGACGGGAUCCGCAAAGAUCCUUCGAUCCCGAAUACAAAUCCAAGAUGCAUACGAGAGGGAGCGGCCGGAUGUUCGGACGACCGAAUACACAAUAGGGAGCCUUUCCUUUUACAUUUAUGCAUUUAAUUUAAUUUAGCAUUAUGCAUAUAGAAAUAGAUUUAUUUUUACGUCCGUCCCGGGACAUGCAUGCAUGCAUUAAUUUUGUUUCUAUAUUUUAUACUAACUUAUUUUCAAGUGUUUUUAAUUUGUAGGUAAAGCUUACGUGGAGACGACGGGAUCCGCAAAGAUCCUUCGAUCCCGAAUACAAAUCCAAGAUGCAUACGAGAGGGAGCGGCCGGAUGUUCGGACGACCGAAUACACAAUAGGGAGCCUUUCCUUUUACAUUUAUGCAUUUAAUUUAAUUUAGCAUUAUGCAUAUAGAAAUAGAUUUAUUUUUACGUCCGUCCCGGGACAUGCAUGCAUGCAUUAAUUUUGUUUCUAUAUUUUAUACUAACUUAUUUUCAAGUGUUUUUAAUUUGUAGGUAAAGCUUAUGUGGAGACGACGGGAUCCGCAAAGAUCCUUCGAUCCCGAAUACAAAUCCAAGAUGCAUACGAGAGGGAGCGGCCGGAUGUUCGGACGACCGAAUACACAAUAGGGAGCCUUUCCUUUUACAUUUAUGCAUUUAAUUUAAUUUAGCAUUAUGCAUAUAGAAAUAGAUUUAUUUUUACGUCCGUCCCGGGACAUGCAUGCAUGCAUUAAUUUUGUUUCUAUAUUUUAUACUAACUUAUUUUCAAGUGUUUUUAAUUUGUAGGUAAAGCUUAUGUGGAGACGACGGGAUCCGCAAAGAUCCUUCGAUCCCGAAUACAAAUCCAAGAUGCAUACGAGAGGGAGCGGCCGGAUGUUCGGACGACCGAAUACACAAUAGGGAGCCUUUCCUUUUACAUUUAUGCAUUUAAUUUAAUUUAGCAUUAUGCAUAUAGAAAUAGAUUUAUUUUUACGUCCGUCCCGGGACAUGCAUGCAUGCAUUAAUUUUGUUUCUAUAUUUUAUACUAACUUAAUUUAUUUUUACGUCCUUCGAUCCCGAAUACAAAUCCAAGAUGCAUACGAGAGGGAGCGGCCGGAUGUUCGGACGACCGAAUACACAAUAGGGAGCCUUUCCUUUUACAUUUAUGCAUUUAAUUUAAUUUAGCAUUAUGCAUAUAGAAAUAGAUUUAUUUUUACGUCCGUCCCGGGACAUGCAUGCAUGCAUUAAUUUUGUUUCUAUAUUUUAUACUAACUUAUUUUCAAGUGUUUUUAAUUUGUAGGUAAAGCUUAUAUGGAGACGACGGGAUCCGCAAAGAUCCUUCGAUCCCGAAUACAAAUCCAAGAUGCAUACGAGAGGGAGCGGCCGGAUGUUCGGACGACCGAAUACACAAUAGGGAACCUUUCCUUUUACAUUUAUGCAUUUAAUUUAAUUUAGCAUUUUGCAUUUAAUUUAAUUUAGCAUUAUGCAUAGAGAAAUAGAUUUAUUUUUACGUAUCGGGACAUGCAUGCAUUAAUUUUGUUUCUAUAUUUUAUAGUAACUUAUUUUUUAGUGUUUUUAGUUUGUAGAUAAAGCUUAUGGGGAGGUUAGAGGAUCCGCAAAGAUCUUUCAAUCUCAAUUUAUAAUCUAAGUUAAGUUAUUUAAAUAUUAUUUUGUUGUUCCUAUGCAUGUAUGUACUAAUAUCUAUUUUAACUCUUUUUAGAUGUAUACGAGAGAGUGUCCGGAUAAACGAGCUCCCGAAAACAUAAUUGAGAGUAAUUCGUCCUUUUUCUUUUACAUUUAUGUAUUGUAUUUAUUUUAACAUCUUGAACGUAGAGUUAGAAUUAGUUUUACGUCACAGGACUUUAAUGCAUUAAUUUUGUUUCUAAAUUUUAUACUAACUUAUUUUUUAGUGUUUUUAGUUUGUAGGUAAAACUUAUGGGAGAUUAGAGGAUCCGCAAAGAUUUUUCGAUCUCGAUUACAAAAUCUGGGCUGACCUGGCCCGGUAUAUUUUGAAACCGCCAUGCCUGGGUUUUGGUUUUCAAGCCCAAUCCAAAAUCAAGUCGGGCCUAUCGGGCUUGAAUUUUAAAACGGCCCAAGACAGCCCAACAAAAUAUUACUCCCUCCUUCGCAAAAAAUGCAUUAAUUUUUUGCGUUGCCGAGGAAGUAAUACCAGCCUGAAAUUGUCAAUUUGUUUUUCAAAUAUGAUGUUAACUUUUCAAAUAAUAGAAGCAAUAUACCUUAAAA